UAGCUCAACUGGUUAGAGCGCUGCCCUGUCACGGCAGAGGUUGCGGGUUCGAGUCCCGU
rnacentral:tRNA from 1 species